ACCUGGCUGGCUCACUGGUAGAACAUGAGACUCUUGAUCUCUGGGUUGUGAGUUUGAGUCCCACGUUGGGUG
rnacentral:tRNA from 1 species